rnacentral:rRNA from 1 species
UUGACCUCGGAUCAGGUAGGAAUACCCGCUGAACUUAAGCAUAUCAAUAAGCGGAGGAAAAGAAACCAACAGGGAUUGCCCUAGUAACGGCGAGUGAAGCGGCAACAGCUCAAAUUUGAAAUCUGGCUACUUUGUAGUCCGAGUUGUAAUUUGUAGAGGAUGCUUUUGGUGAGGUGCUUUCUGAGUUCCCUGGAACGGGACGCCAGAGAGGGUGAGAGCCCCGUACAGUUAGCAACUGAUCCUUUGUAUAGCUCCUUCGACGAGUCGAGUAGUUUGGGAAUGCUGCUCUAAAUGGGAGGUAUAUCUCUUCUAAAGCUAAAUAUAGGCUAGAGACCGAUAGCGCACAAGUAGAGUGAUCGAAAGAUGAAAAGCACUUUGAAAAGAGAGUUAAACAGCACGUGAAAUUGUUGAAAGGGAAGCGCCUAUGACCAGACUUGUUUCUAUCAGUUUUGGUAGUUUUCGGACUGCCUGUACUCUGUUAGUACAGGCCAACAUCAGUUUGUUGUCGGGGAGAAAGGCUUAGGGAAUGUGGCUCCCUCGGGAGUGUUAUAGACCUUUGCAUAAUACCCUUCGGCAGACUGAGGACCGCGCUUCGGCAAGGAUGUUGGCGUAAUGGUCAUCAGCGACCCGUCUUGAAACACGGACC